ensembl:lncRNA
ACAGGAGCGAAGCCCUCAACAGAGCAGCCAGCGUGGGAGCCGGAGCCCGUGAGGUAACAUAUCAUCAUUGAGCCCAGGGACGUGGCACACGGCGCUCUGCAGAGGAACAAGUUGCUGUCUGAGGAGAAGGAGGAGGAGGAAAGCUGGUCCCACGCUUAUGAUAUGAGGGUGCUUUUGGAAAGAUAGCCCGAGUCGAAGCAGACUGUUCAAUAAAUGCUUCAUACCCAGGAUGAAGGGAGACAUUAGGAGAUGCCCAGGGGGCUUUGGAAAUCAAAUACAAUGUUUGAGUAGCACAAUUUGAGGUACAUUAUAAAAAAGCAAUUUGAAUUGCCAAUGAGGCGACACAUAUCUGCAUGCUAAUUAGACCUAUGUCAAGCUUAGUCUGCCGGGUGGUGUUGAUGGCUAGGAAUGUGCUUGUAACUCUGCAGAGAGAUUGUUUCUGCAUAAAUUAUCAGCUUUGUCCUACUGAUCAUUUUCUGCAAACAAACAUGAAAUGUGAGAUCAAAAGGCAAUUCUGAAAUUAAAAUUAUUGAUUGAUAAAGCCGAGAUUUCAGAAUCUAAUUAGAGGAGGCACAAACAAAAGCUGAUAUUAUUACAGAUUGUGCCUGAGCUAGCAGCCAGAUUGUGCAAGGCUUGUAAUUUAUCUUUGUUUAUGCAGCCAGGAUAUUAAAAAUGUAAUUAAAAUGGUAAAAUGAUCUGAUCACAAAUAGCCACCUAGUGGCAAGUAUAUUAUUUUAAAUGGAUUAUAAAAGCAUUGAUCUGUGCAAAUAAAAGUUUUUUUUUUUUCAUGACAAACAUAGCAGCUCAUUGAAACUUGCUGAGCAAUUUGUCUUUUGCUAAUAAGUUGUCUUUUGUGUUUUCUUCCACAGAUAAGCAACAUCAUUUAUAACCUUCAUUUGCACACUAAUAAACAUUCUGUUAUCACAGGUGGUGUUGGGAACAUCUUUCACAAAUUAUGGCAGAUGAAAAUGGAAGCAACAAAUACACUUGUCUCCAGACAUGCAUAUACAUUUUGUAAAAUUAGAAUAUUCAUCUGACAAGAGCAGAAGUUGCUCAUUAAGUUACUCUAUUGCUCUGUUUAAGCCAUGAAACUGUAGAAACACUGUCAGUAUGUAAUUCAGCUUCUUGACUAUCUUGGUUACUCACAAAUACUAUACAAAACAGAGAAGACCCAAUUUACUAAGUCUGUGCAGAUUCAGUUACUGAAUUUCAUGGUAAUAAAGAGGUCUUUGUGAUCUCUGUUGUUUUUACCUGCAUUUAACACCUUUCAAGAGUUGUCAUGAGGUUUAAGUUUUAAAGAACAGACUGUUUGUUUGCAGAAAAUAUAGAAAUAAAUUUUAGAAUUUCUCUGCCAUCAUGAGCUAUGGACAGUGAAGCUGCUAAAGGAAGCUUUUUCAUAUGCUAAUGAAGCUAGACUAGGAAAAAACAAACUGUAAACUGUUUUUUGAAAAAAUAUAGCCAGAAGCUUGUAAGUUCACGAGCAAGGCUUAACUCAUAUGUUCCUUUUUAUUUCAGAUUUCCACAUGAAACCACUGUGGAAAUACUCCAUUCCUUUUUAAGAAAUUCACAAUUUAGGGUCCUGUCAGCAGCUCUGGGGUCUUUUGUUAGGUGCACUUAAAAUGCCAGAUUAAAUAUUAAUAUGUGGUUAGAGUUGUGCUAUUUUGCAAGCCCUGAAACCCUAUUAGUAAAUCAUGAUCUGGUGACUGAUGCAAGAAAUUUCAAGGAACCAAGAGUGCAGAUUGCCCAUCAAUCUGAUGGAUCACUAAUUUUUAGUAAAUCAGGCCCUUGGACUUUUAGCUGUAAGCAGACGUAUGUUUCAUUGUGACGGGAAAAGCAGUCCAACUAAAAGAGCAAUUUUCUGCACUGAAUGUGUACCGUAACAGGCAGAGUUGUUUUGCAUAAUCACUAAGUUAUUUGAAUACAAGUGUUCAUUUAGCAGGCUGUGCAUGAGUGAUGCUGUUCUUGGGAAAAAAAGCCCACAUUUUUAGCUAGAAGAGAAAGCUGAAUUAUUUUAAUAGAAUAGUACUAGGAUUUCAAAAGGGAUCCUCAGGAUUGGAGAGCUUCAGAAGGACAAUGACCAAGGACAAGAAGGGUUAUAUCUUCCCAGCCCUCCAAAGGAGCUGCAUCUCCUCUGUAGGCUUCAUCACCCAUGGUCCUGCAAGGGGAGGAACCAGUCAGGGGGUGGUAAGUACAAAGCUUGCUAUUGCACAGAGCUUCCUCAGGAAGCAUCAGAAAAAGGCAUCCAAAUGAAGGAGCAGUAAAUAAUAUAGGUGAAAAUACAGAAAACACAGAAAAUAAGCUACUGUCGUAAAGAAGAAAGAUCCUCCCUGACAUAUGGCAAGCUUUGAUAUGUGACUGAGUUCCAGCCUUCUGAGCCUCUUGAGAAACACACACACACACAAACCACAACCAUACCAUCUUUAUCGGGCGUCUUUAUUUCAUGCUGAUGAAUCUUUACUUCUAGUUCCUAAUAAUAGGGAUUUAAGCAUCCAAUUUAGUUUCAUGUCUUCAGAACCUAACACAGUGCACAUUUCCUCCCAUUUCAUAUCUGUCCUUUUUGCUCUCACGGCUCCUCUCACAUUUUUAGCAGUCUGCUGGCACUCACAUGGAAAUUGGCAUCAGAAAGAGACCUCUACACACCUCCUUUGCAGUGCUGCUUCACAGACACUGAGAAGUACAGUUCUGAAAGGCUGAAAGCUCUUGCAUGUAUCUGUAUUUUUCUUAGAGUGUCUCAUUAUGAGGUAUUUAAAUGAGAGAACAGAAUUCUCAUCUGUGCUGAAUGAAACUGAUAUUCUGCUACCCAAAAAACUUCAUUCUUCCUAUGUACAUUCACAUCAGAUGACAUUGUGAAGUAUGAUUUGUACAGACAAGGUCAAAGGUAGCAAGAAAGUGAGUCCAAACCAUCAUGCAAUGCAGUGUCCAGAUAUAUACAUCUGUAAACGAUAUCUACUUAAUGUGUAUAAAUAAACAACUGGGUAUUAUCC